UUCCCACACAUUAGUUCCAAUUACAAAAUAAAAACCAGUCAUCUAGCAUUUAAUAUAUUCUUUAAACUUUAAGGAAAAGUCAACAAAAAUAUACUCCCCCAACACUACAUGUAUCUACUCUCCAAAAAGCACUGCUACUGUAAUACUGUCUCUCUAAAUUCUUCAAACUCCCACACCCAAUUCGCAGAUUCUCUCUGACCCUUCUUCACAAAAUUGGUAAUCUAGUUACUGCACAUCUCUCUCGCUCGCUGCUGUACUAGCAACAACCGCCGUCAUCGCUGCUAUCAUGCUGUCUCCGUCGCCGCCGCUCCAGGCGGUCAGCUCCUCCAUCGGCAGCGCCGCUUCUCCAACCGUUCAAAGGGCCAAUUACUACUGCAGAUUAAAAAUCGGGAAUAAAUUUGUGGAAACUCACGGCUGCCCUACUCCUUUUGCUAUCUCAAAAUUUGGAGGAAAGUAUUAUCAUAAGAUUAUGCAUCUAAGAUUAAGUUGUGAAAUUCAAUCUUAUGAACUAAACAAAUGGUGUGGUUUGAUUAUUAUGACUCAUUAUCACAUGAUUAUAAUCUAGAAUUAAGUUGUGGGAUUAUUUUAGUUGAAGUGAGGUGGCUAUGACUAAUUAUCAUAUGAUUAUCCAUCUAUGAUUAAGUUGUAAGAUUCAAUCUCGUAAACCAAACAUAUAUAUAUAAUCUUUCAACCAAACGACAACUUAA